AACGAACGCUGGCGGCGCGUCUUAAGCAUGCAAGUCGGACGGCAAGAAGAGAGCUUGCUCUCUUCCUAGAGUGGCGGACUGGUGAGUAACACGUGGGUGACGUACCCUUUAGCUGGGGAUAGCCGGUAGAAAUACCGGGUAAUACCGAAUAAUCUUGCUUCUUUGAAGUGAAGUAAGGAAAGGAGCUUCGGCUUCACUGAAGGAACGGCCCGCGCACUAUUAGCUAGUUGGUGAGGUAACGGCUCACCAAGGCAACGAUAGUUAUCCGGCCUAAGAGGGUGAACGGACACAUUGGGACUGAGAUACGGCCCAGACUCCUACGGGAGGCAGCAGCUAAGAAUAUUCCGCAAUGGAGGAAACUCUGACGGAGCGACGCCGCGUGGAUGAUGAAGGUCGGAAGAUUGUAAAAUCCUUUAAGUAUGAUGAAUAACCUGAUCAGGAAAUGGGACAGGGAUGACCGUAAUACUUGAAUAAGCAACGGCUAAUUACGUGCCAGCAGCCGACGG
rnacentral:rRNA from 1 species